GUGGGGAAUAUUGGGCAAUGGGCGCAAGCCUGACCCAGCAACGCCGCGUGAAGGAAGAAGGCUUUCGGGUUGUAAACUUCUUUUACCAGGGACGAAACAAAUGACGGUACCUGGUGAAUAAGCCACGGCCAACUACGUGCCAGCAGCCGCGGUAAUACGUAGGUGGCGAGCGUUAUCCGGAUUUAUUGGGUGUAAAGGGCGUGUAGGCGGGACAGCAAGUCAGAUGUGAAAACCAGAGGCUCAACCUCUGGCCUGCAUUUGAAUCUGUUGUUCUUGAGUGUCGGAGAGGUAAUCGGAAUUCCGUGUGUAGCGGUGAAAUGCGUAGAUAUACGGAGGAACACCAGUGGCGAAGGCGGAUUACUGGACGAUAACUGACGCUGAGGCGCGAAAGCGUGGGGAGCAAACAGGAUUAGAUACCCGUGUAGUCC
rnacentral:rRNA from 1 species